GGACCCGCACAAGUAGUGGAGCAUGUGGUUUAAUUCGAAGAUACGCGCAGAACCUUACCAACACUUGACAUGUUCGUCGCGACUCUAAGAGAUUAAAGUUUUCGGUUCGGCCGGACGAAACACAGGUGCUGCAUGGCUGUCGUCAGCUCGUGUCGUGAGAUGUUGGGUUAAGUCCCGCAACGAGCGCAACCCUCACUUUUAGUUGCCAUCAUUUAGUUGGGCACUCUGAAAGAACUGCCAGUGAUAAGCUGGAGGAAGGUGGGGAUGACGUCAAGUCCUCAUGGCCCUUACGUGUUGGGCUACACACGUGCUACAAUGGUAUCUACAACAGGAAGCAAGACUGCGAAGUUAAGCAAAUCCCUAAAAGAUACCUCAGUUCGGAUUGCACUCUGCAACUCGAGUGCAUGAAGCUGGAAUUACUAGUAAUCG
rnacentral:rRNA from 1 species